rnacentral:rRNA from 1 species
UGGGUCCAACCUCCCACCCGUGUUUAUUUUACCUUGUUGCUUCGGCGGGCCCGCCUUAACUGGCCGCCGGGGGGCUUACGCCCCCGGGCCCGCGCCCGCCGAAGACACCCUCGAACUCUGUCUGAAGAUUGAAGUCUGAGUGAAAAUAUAAAUUAUUUAAAACUUUCAACAACGGAUCUCUUGGUUCCGGCAUCGAUGAAGAACGCAGCGAAAUGCGAUACGUAAUGUGAAUUGCAAAUUCAGUGAAUCAUCGAGUCUUUGAACGCACAUUGCGCCCCCUGGUAUUCCGGGGGGCAUGCCUGUCCGAGCGUCAUUGCUGCCCUCAAGCCCGGCUUGUGUGUUGGGCCCCGUCCCCCGAUCUCCGGGGGACGGGCCCGAAAGGCAGCGGCGGCACCGCGUCCGGUCCUCGAGCGUAUGGGGCUUUGUCACCCGCUCUGUAGGCCCGGCCGGCGCUUGCCGAUCAACCCAAAUUUUUAUCCAGGUUGACCUCGGAUCAGGUAGGGAUACCCGCUGAACUUAAGCAUAUCAAUAAGACGGAGGAA